GCGGGCGUAAUUCAGUGGCAGAAUAGGAGCUUCCCAAGCUUCACACGAGGGUUCGAUUCCCUUCGCCCGCUCCA
rnacentral:tRNA from 1 species